rnacentral:rRNA from 1 species
AGAGUUUGAUCCUGGCUCAGGAUGAACGCUAGCGGCAGGCUUAACACAUGCAAGUCGAGGGGCAGCGCGGGAUAGCAAUAUCCUGGCGGCGACCGGCGGAAGGGUGCGUAACGCGUGAGCGACAUGCCCGUUGCCCGGGGACAACCGGUGGAAACGCCGACUAAUCCCCGAUGGGAUACGAUGCUUCAUGGCAUUGUAUUGAAAGUUACGGCGGCGACGGAUUGGCUCGCGUCCGAUUAGCUGGUUGGCGGGGUAACGGCCCACCAAGGCUACGAUCGGUAGGGGUUCUGAGAGGAAGGCCCCCCACAAUGGGACUGAGACACGGCCCAUACUCCUACGGGAGGCAGCAGUGAGGAAUAUUGGUCAAUGGGCGGAAGCCUGAACCAGCCAUGCCGCGUGAAGGACUAAGGCCCUAUGGGUCGUAAACUUCUUUAGACGCAGAGCAAUAAGGGCCUCGCGAGGUCCGAUGAGAGUAUGCGUAGAAUAAGCAUCGGCUAACUCCGUGCCAGCAGCCGCGGUAAUACGGGGGAUGCGAGCGUUAUCCGGAUUCAUUGGGUUUAAAGGGUGCGUAGGCUGUGCGUCAAGUCGGGGGUGAAAUUCCUGUGCUCAACACGGGGGCUGCCCUUGAUACUGUCGCGCUGGAGUGCGGAUGCCGCCGGAGGAAUGAGUGGUGUAGCGGUGAAAUGCUUAGAUAUCACUCAGAACACCGAUUGCGAAGGCAUCUGGCGAAUCCGUAACUGACGCUGAGGCACGAAAGCGUGGGGAUAGAACAGGAUUAGAUACCCUGGUAUUCCACGCCGUAAACGAUGAUGGCUAACCGCCGGCGACACACUGUCGGUGGCCAAGCGAAAGCGAUAAGCCAUCCACCUGGGGAGUACGUCGGCAACGAUGAAACUCAAAGGAAUUGACGGGGGCCCGCACAAGCGGAGGAACAUGUG